AGUGAACGCUGGCGGUAUGCCUAACACAUGCGAGUCGAACGGCAGCACAGUAAGAGCUUGCUCUUACGGGUGGCGAGUGGCGGACGGGUGAGGAAUACAUCGGAAUCUACUUUUUCGUGGGGGAUAACGUAGGGAAACUUACGCUACUACCGCAUACGACCUACGGGUGAAAGCAGGGGAUCUUCGGACCUUGCGCGAUUGAAUGAGCCGAUGUCGGAUUAGCUAGUUGGCGGGGUAAAGGCCCACCAAGGCGACGAUCCGUAGCUGGUCUGAGAGGAUGAUCAGCCACACUGGAACUGAGACACGGUCCAGACUCCUACGGGAGGCAGCAGUGGGGAAUAUUGGACAAUGGGCGAAAGCCUGAUCCAGCCAUACCGCGUGGGUGAAGAAGGCCUUCGGGUUGUAAAGCUCUUUUGUUGGGAAAGAAAAGCAGCGGGUUAAUACCCCGCUGUUCUGACGGUACCCAAAGAAUAAGCACCGGCUAACUUCGUG
rnacentral:rRNA from 1 species